GCUAGCGACAGGCUUAACACAUGCAAGUCGAGGGGUAGCGGGGGUAGCGAUACCCGCCGGCGACCGGCGCACGGGUGAGUAACGCGUAUGCUACUUGCCUAUCAGAGGGGGAUAACCCGGCGAAAGUCGGACUAAUACCGCAUGAAGCAAGGGCCCCGCAUGGGGAUAUUUGCUAAAGAUUCAUCGCUGAUAGAUAGGCAUGCGUUCCAUUAGGCAGUUGGCGGGGUAACGGCCCACCAAACCGACGAUGGAUAGGGGUUCUGAGAGGAAGGUCCCCCACAUUGGUACUGAGACACGGACCAAACUCCUACGGGAGGCAGCAGUGAGGAAUAUUGGUCAAAGGCCGAGAGGCUGAACCAGCCAAGUCGCGUGAGGGAUGAAGGUUCUAUGGAUCGUAAACCUCUUUUAUAAGGGAAUAAAGUGCGGGACGUGUCCCGUUUUGUAUGUACCUUAUGAAUAAGGAUCGGCUAACUCCGUGCCAGCAGCCGCGGUAAUACGGAGGAUCCGAGCGUUAUCCGGAUUUAUUGGGUUUAAAGGGUGCGUAAGCGGCCUUUUAAGUCAGCGGUGAAAGUCUGUGGCUCAACCAUAGAAUUGCCGUUGAAACUGGGGGGCUUGAGUAUGUUUGAGGCAGGCGGAAUGCGUGGUGUAGCGGUGAAAUGCAUAGAUAUCACGCAGAACCCCGAUUGCGAAAGCAGCCUGCCCAGCCAUUACUGACGCUGAUGCACGAAAGCGUGGGGAUCCAACAGGAUUAGAUACCCUGGUAGUCCACGCAAUAAACGUAGAUCACUAGCUGUUUGCGAUACACUGUAAGCAGGACAACAAAAGCGUUAAGUGAUUCCCCCUGGGGAGUACGCCGGCAACGGUGAAACUCAAAGGAAUUGACGGGGGCCCGCACAAGCGGAGGAACAUGUGGUUUAAUUCGAUGAUACGCGAGGAACCUUACCCGGGUUUGAACGCAUUCGGACCGAGGUGGAAACACCUUUUCUAGCAAUAGCCGUUUGCGAGGUGCUGCAUGGUUGUCGUCAGCUCGUGCCGUGAGGUGUCGGCUUAAGUGCCAUAACGAGCGCAACCCUUGCCACUAGUUACUAACAGGUAAAGCUGAGGACUCUGGUGGGACUGCCAGCGUAAGCUGCGAGGAAGGCGGGGAUGACGUCAAAUCAGCACGGCCCUUACAUCCGGGGCGACACACGUGUUACAAUGGCGUGGACAAAGGGAGGCCACCUGGCGACAGGGAGCGAAUCCCCAAACCACGUCUCAGUUCGGAUCGGAGUCUGCAACCCGACUCCGUGAAGCUGGAUUCGCUAGUAAUCGCGCAUCAGCCAUGGCGCGGUGAAUACGUUCCCGGGCCUUGUACACACCGCCCGUCAAGCCAUGGGAGCCGGGGGUACAAGAAGUCCGUAACCGAAAGGAUCGGCCUAGGGUAAAACUGUAAAGGGGGCUAAGUC
rnacentral:rRNA from 1 species